UUGAAGGCAGGAGGAGACUUCUUUAAAUGCUGGGAAGAGGUAGCUGGAUGGAGUUAAUGGCGCUCUUCCUUCUUUUCUGUUGAAAACCAGUUGGCCGAGAUAGGAUGCUUGAUUUCUUUGAGUGGAAUGGUGCUUCUCUACCUUGCUACAGUCCUCUGUGGCUAUUUAAGCCAUCCCCCAUGGAAACUAGCCGUUAGACACUUUUUUCUGUCCGUUCUGCACACUCUGCACAUCCUGACAAUAUGUCCGUUGGGGUCGGAGUCGACUCGCG
rnacentral:lncRNA from 1 species